ACGGAAGGCAGCAGUGGGGAAUAUUGGGCAAUGGGCGAAAGCCUGACCCAGCAACGCCGCGUGAAGGAAGAAGGUUUUCGGAUUGUAAACUUCUUUUAUCAGGGACGAAGAAAGUGACGGUACCUGAUGAAUAAGCCACGGCUAACUACGUGCCAGCAGCCGCGGCAAUACGUAGGUGGCAAGCGUUAUCCGGAUUUACUGGGUGUAAAGGGCGCGUAGGCGGGGAUGCAAGUCAGAUGUGAAAUCUAUGGGCUUAACCCAUAAACUGCAUUUGAAACUGUAUCUCUUGAGUGUCGGAGAGGUAGACGGAAUUCCUAGUGUAGCGGUGAAAUGCGUAGAUAUUAGGAGGAACACCAGUGGCGAAGGCGGUCUACUGGACGAUAACUGACGCUGAGGCGCGAAAGCGUGGGGAGCAAACAGGAUUAGAUACCCUGGUA
rnacentral:rRNA from 1 species